rnacentral:rRNA from 1 species
UGGGGAAUAUUGGGCAAUGGGCGAAAGCCUGACCCAGCAACGCCGCGUGAAGGAAGAAGGUUUUCGGAUCGUAAACUUCUAUCCUUGGUGAAGAUAAUGACGGUAGCCAAGAAGGAAGCCCCGGCUAACUACGUGCCAGCAGCCGCGGUAAUACGUAGGGGGCAAGCGUUGUCCGGAAUGAUUGGGCGUAAAGGGCGCGUAGGCGGCCCGGUAAGUCUGAAGUGAAAGUCCUGCUUUUAAGGUGGGAAUUGCUUUGGAUACUGUCGGGCUUGAGUGCAGGAGAGGUAAGCGGAAUUCCCGGUGUAGCGGUGAAAUGCGUAGAGAUCGGGAGGAACACCAGUGGCGAAGGCGGCUUACUGGACUGUAACUGACGCUGAGGCGCGAAAGUGUGGGGAGCAAACAG